AAAAUCCCUCUGCAAGCAAAGUAAACUCACAUCCUGGCUUUGAUUGAGAAUUAGACCAACAGAAGGCACACUGUGCAGCACUAGCUUCCCACAGCAAGGAUGGAUCCUAAGUAACCUCAGAGGCCACAUGCUGAACAUGGCCUAUCCACAGUGUGGAAGAAGCCUUGGAUCCUGAGCCACUGUUCUGACAACCAACUGAUUUACAGAAGAGAGCUACAUAAGUAGGAUUUUUCAUUAUGUUCAACAUUUGGAAAUUUCAACUAAAGAUAAUUGCAG